GAACAGGAUCUCCAGCGGGCUCGUUCUCAGGGACUCUUUGUUGGAGGAGCUCCAGGUGGAAACUCCAGCCCUGGUGCUGCUUGUUAGAUGUCGAGUACAGCAGGUGGCUGGACGACGACAGCAGGCGCAUGACUCCGGGGAGGCCUGCACGCGCACUUGCCGGAUGUUGAACUCAGGGCCAUCAUCGA